rnacentral:lncRNA from 1 species
UUCAAAAUAAAUAAAAUAAAAAAAGAUCAUAAUACAACAAAUUUUUUUCUACAAAGUUUUCUAAUGUUUUUAUUUCCCUCUUUAUUAUUAAGUACUUCCCAUUAUAUAUUAUUUUUAUUAAUAAUAUAUAUGUAGGGAUGUUCAUCGGUAAAUUAUUGUACCAAAUCAAAUCUAUUCAAUUUUGGCUACCGAUAUUGGUACCGAUUGGACUGGUAUACCGAACCGGUUAGCUGAUCUGAAACCGUUGCAAUGCCAGUUUUUAUCUAAUUUUAUACCGGUUGUCAAUAAAGUCAGAACUUCGUUCCACUGGUCAUAAACUUUUUCUGACCACACAAUCACAAUUUUUACAAUCCAACCAAAACCAACUCUUACAAAACCUUCUACAAAUUCAUUUUCUUCUUCUACAAAAAACCAUCACAAACAAAAACAACAAUUAUCACUACAACUGAUCAAAUCAACAAUAUGUCAUUACAAUAAGUUAAAAAAAACAAUAAAUAAGCACAAAAUUGCCAUUAUAAGAGAAAAGGUUAAAACUUAGAUCCAAUUACUGGAGCAAAUUUUUUCCUGUAACAUGCAAGUAGAAAAAUUAAGAAUGUGAGCUAACAAUCAACUUUUAUGAGGUUAACAAAUAAACCCUAAAACUGGCAAAACCCCAAGUAAAUUAAGAACUAAAUAAAGUUUAAACUAGCAAAUCAAUAUGCAAGCAACACAAAAUUAAAAACUCAUAUAAAAGAAAAAGAUAAACAUGACUUGAAGAUAAAAAAGAAAUGAACAAGGAGUAAUUGUAGAAUAACUAGAAAUGAUCUAAACAAUGGAACGAAAUCUAAACAAAUAAAAAAGAAAACUCCCAAAACAGAGCAUAGGCUACAUAAUAGAUUUUGGAAUGGGAACAUACCUAUCUAUAAGGACGUCGACGACGAAAAUCGAGUCAGAUGCACUUAAUUUUUAGUCUUAAUUUGGGGGGAGGUGAGAUGAGAGAGAAGAAGAUAAAUUGAAGGGAGGGGUAAUUAGUGAAAGCCAUAGGUAAUUAGAUAUUGUCUGGAUGAUGGAUGACAUCAUGAGAGAAUAGAAGCAGGUGCGACGAUGGAGAGAAAGGUAGAGAUGGAUUCAAGAUGGAGAGAAAUUGAAAAGUGAGAAAGGUGCAGAGCAAAUAGGAAUAAAAUUAAUAGAUCUGUAACUGGUAUAACCGACUCGGUUCGGUUAUAUACUGAACGAGUCAAAC